UGGGGAAUUUUGGACAAUGGGGGCAACCCUGAUCCAGCCAUCCCGCGUGUGCGAUGAAGGCCUUCGGGUUGUAAAGCACUUUGGCAGGGAAGAAACAGCCUGGGAUAAUACCCCGGGCGACCGACGGUACCUGCAGAAUAAGCACCGGCUAACUACGUGCCAGCAGCCGCGGUAAUACGUAGGGUGCAAGCGUUAAUCGGAAUUACUGGGCGUAAAGCGUGCGCAGGCGGUUCGGAAAGAAAGGUGUGAAAUCCCAGGGCUUAACCUUGGAACUGCACUUUUAACUACCGAGCUAGAGUACGUCAGAGGGGGGUAGAAUUCCACGUGUAGCAGUGAAAUGCGUAGAGAUGUGGAGGAAUACCGAUGGCGAAGGCAGCCCCCUGGGAUGAUACUGACGCUCAUGCACGAAAGCGUGGGGAGCAAACAGGAUUAGAUACCCUGGUAGUCCACGCCCU
rnacentral:rRNA from 1 species